CACCAGCAGAUCAAGUGGUGAUCACGUUUACUGGGUUUAAAGCGUGCGUAGUCGGUUCGGCAAGUUUUUUGUGAAAUCCUGCGGCUUAACCGCGGGGAUUGCAAAAAAUACUACCGUGCUAGAGGCCGGGGCAGGUGUGGGGUAUUCUAGGGGUAGCGGUGAAAUGCUAUAAUCCCUGGAGGACCACCAGUAGCGAAGGCGCCACACUAGAACGGGCCUGACGAUGAGGUACGAGAGCUAGGGGAGCAAACAG
rnacentral:rRNA from 1 species